rnacentral:lncRNA from 1 species
GGGAGCACUGUGUGUGAGAAGAGAGGGGGUGGGAGAAAAAGGGGAGGGAGGGAGAUAGAUAGAGCAAAAACAGGUGCAUACACAUGGAUGGGUUCAGGCUAGCAGAUAUCAGAAAUGGAGACCCAUUGAUGUUUUAUUGAGUAGUCUCAACAAAAUGAACAUAGGUUCAUGGAAGAAUGGGAAUGCAAACUCUCAGACAGUCACAAUACUUCCUUUACCAUCUCCUGUAGAAGAACAUGGAGAAUAAGGUUAUUACAUGUCUUAGUCAGACCACGCCCCAGUUCACCUUCACCUGUUUUUGGAGUCUGCACGGCUUCUGUCGGAACAGGAUGAGAUGCAGGAGAAACGGAGGGAUCAGGAGACUGAGGUGUGAAGGAAGCCUGGAGCGACUUCACCCUCUUCUUCAUUCUCUCAGAGACUCUGGCCACGAUUGUGACGGCAUUCUAAUUUCUACAUCCAGAUCCUUUUCUUCACGCUGUGGUGCGUCUCUCCUCCACCUGCAGCAGCUGUUCAAUCAGCAGCUUCACUGGAGUGCAUAGGUAGAGGUCAAAGCUCAAAACUCAAAACUAACGUUCUUUACAAUCUCCUACACCACGGAAACACACGUGCACACACACACGUGCACACACACACACACAUGAAUUAAAGUCCUGUGUAGGUCUAUAAAUGCCAGUGGGGUGUAGGGACACCUAUCACCUGUUUAUGAUGAAAGUAGUGAAUGUGAUUGUGUGUGCACUGAGACUUCAUUGCAGCUGGACCACAGAGAGUUGCAGGACUGCACCUACCAGUUAAGAUAAGCAUAUGCUGCAGAAUGAAUGCCCUUUACACGCACAUGCACGCAAACACACACACACGCAGGUCUCAUUAGCCUGUGUAAUUAUGCAUGGCACGUCCAGUUGGCCAGUGGAGAAGUAAUUAACCUUUUCCAGCAGGAAACAGCAAUCUGGGCGUCUGACACACUCACAUGCACGCACACACGUCUGGUGUCACGGAAAUAAAGUGUCAAAGACAGCGGCUGGCAUUCAAUGAUAAUCCCCUCACGCAUAUUUCCAUC